rnacentral:rRNA from 1 species
AUUGAACGCUGGCGGCAUGCCUUACACAUGCAAGUCGAACGGCAGCACGGGAGCUUGCUCCUGGUGGCGAGUGGCGAACGGGUGAGUAAUACAUCGGAACGUACCCUGAAGUGGGGGAUAACGUAGCGAAAGUUACGCUAAUACCGCAUAUUCUGUGAGCAGGAAAGAGGGGGAUCGCAAGACCUCUUGCUUUAGGAGCGGCCGAUGUCGGAUUAGCUAGUUGGUGAGGUAAAGGCUCACCAAGGCGACGAUCCGUAGCGGGUCUGAGAGGAUGAUCCGCCACACUGGGACUGAGACACGGCCCAGACUCCUACGGGAGGCAGCAGUGGGGAAUUUUGGGACAAUGGGCGCAAGCCUGAUCCAGCCAUGCCGCGUGAGUGAAGAAGGCCUUC